CCUAGGGAGGCAGCAGUGGGGAAUAUUGGACAAUGGGCGAAAGCCUGAUCCAGCCAUGCCGCGUGUGUGAAGAAGGCCUUCGGGUUGUAAAGCACUUUCAGUGGGGAAGAAAGCCUUGGGGCUAAUACCCUCGAGGAAGGACAUCACCCACAGAAGAAGCACCGGCUAACUCCGUGCCAGCAGCCGCGGUAAUACGGAGGGUGCGAGCGUUAAUCGGAAUUACUGGGCGUAAAGCGCGCGUAGGCGGUCUGAUAAGCCGGUUGUGAAAGCCCCGGGCUCAACCUGGGAACGGCAUCCGGAACUGUCAGGCUAGAGUGCAGGAGAGGAAGGUAGAAUUCCCGGUGUAGCGGUGAAAUGCGUAGAGAUCGGGAGGAAUACCAGUGGCGAAGGCGGCCUUCUGGACUGACACUGACGCUGAGGUGCGAAAGCGUGGGUAGCAAACAGGAUUAGAUACCCCGGUAGUC
rnacentral:rRNA from 1 species